UUUAUGGGGUGGCUAUGGUAAAUAUUUACUUUUUCACUUUGAGGUUGUUUAUUUUUGGGGCUAAUAAAUUAGCGCCUUGGACAACUUGUUUGGUUUAUGUGACCCUUUUUGUUAUUGUUGAUUUUCUGCUGUUAUAUAAAUACGGGCAUAAAUAUUGAACAUUUAUCGAAUCGGUCGCAGAGAGGAGAAACAGCAAACGAAUUGUGUAGCCGGUCGAACGACAACUAAAAACAAAAAUUGCUUUGAAUUUUCGAAUUUUGCAUUAAUUUUAUUUUUCUCGCGACCGAGAGUGAGAGCCAUCCAUACAGAGAGAAAAAAACCGAGAGAAACAUGCACUUCAGCUUGGACAACAACACGACCAAUGGCUUCCAAUACGUUGGCCAAUUGUAUUUAUAAUUUUAUUUAUAUAUUUUGCAUACAUUGUUGCUGUAGUCGUUUCUUGAUACAUUUUUUUUCCGCAACUUUCAGUAUUUCUCUCUGAUAAAUUGCUAAGCGCUGUCUGGAACUGGUAGCGCGUGCCAAAUGGCAAAUACUAAUAUGAGGGAACACGGCGAACGGAGGAGCGCACCGAUGGAACUCCUCUCGGAUACGCACAGCAGCCGCACGAGCACUCGUAAGAUACAAAGUUGAAAUUGCAGACAAAUUUAGUGUUUGCCUGGCAGAGGAGCGUCUGCGAAAGUUGAGGAAUUUGUGUACGAAAUGACAAAACGUGAUUCUGCUGUGUAUUUUGAAAUUACUUUGUUGGGAGCUGAAUUUAUGUAACUUAAUUUUUUAAACUUAUAUAAAAGAAUUUGGUCUGGAAUUCAAACUUUUCAGUUUA